rnacentral:rRNA from 1 species
UCAAUCUCGUGUGGCUAUAAUUACCACCGGUCCCUCUAAGAAGAUUUUCAUUGUACGCCGAUAGUUGAAGAGCGACGCGCGCGGGCGGACGCGCACCCCGUCCGGCCGCGGACCCUCGUGAUAUCGGAAGCACGUCUAUUUAAUAGGCUAGAGUUACGUUCGUUAC